CCCUCAUCUUUUCCCCCCGUUUCCUCUCACAUGGCUCUCUCCUUUGCACUCUGCCCGGCGACCACCGGAACGUCAGUCGCGCGCUGCUGCUGCCAGGAAGAGGCGACGAAGCAUCCACCAUUACCAUCGCGUCGCCGUCACCACCGGGUGAUGCGUCGCAGCAUCCCAUCGCCGCCGUGCAGCAUCUACUGUCACCGUCGUGUGCUUCGUCAUAGCAACCACGUCGCCGUCGCCCUGCGAUGGAGCACCACCGUGCCGAUGGUGGUGCUCCAGUGAAGCUUCGCCGAGGCCAUCGGGUGCUUCGAUGGAGCACGGCGGGGGCAGCCGAUGCUACAACAGAGAAUCAAUGCGCUGUGGUGACGUUUGCAGUGAAGCUCCGCCGACGGGCUGCUGCGAUGGAGCCCGCCGUGCCGGUGUGGCACUGCAGUGAAACAACGCGGCGCCGCCGGGGCUGCAAUGAAGCGUCGCCGGGUUCGUUAGGCUGCAAUGGAGCGCCGCCAGAGCUGCAGUGAAGCACGUCAGAGUUGUAGUGAAGCGCGCCGAAGCUGCAGUGAAGCAUGCCAGAGGGUCGUCGGAACUUGGUUGGGGUUCCAAUGAAGUGCCGCCGGAGUUGCAAUGAAGCACAACGAAGGGUCGUUGAAAUUUGGUCGGGAUUGCAAUGGAGCUACGCCUGGGCUGCAGUGAAGCACGCCGGAGGGUCGUUGAACCUGGCCUAGGUUGCAAUGGAGGGCCGGCGGCGCCGCCGGUGCUGCCGUGGAAGCUGCUGUUGAGGGAUACAUAUGGUGGAUUUUGCGUCUGAUGGAUAGAAGAGCAGAGAAGGAAGACUGGGUUGUGCUACGAUCAAACGGCCACCUCGUCCAGAUUGGACGAUUGGCAAGGCGGAUGAUUUCUCGAUCGACCACCCUAGGAAAUCAUCCGGCUUAUUCGUAGCAGCCGCCAAUUCCCAAUUUCUCGAUCGAUCGAACAACUUAACAGGGAACUGACGAAUUGUUUUUAGGGCGCUCGAAUCAUUGCGCCCAUGUUGCCGAUUAGAUUACAGAGAGAAGGGUCAUGUCAAGUUCGGGUAGAAAGUAUCCAUCCGGAGGUCAUAAAAGUAAAAGGAAGAAGGAGGCAGAUGAGGAGAAAGAUGCAUUGAGUGGAUCUUUUUUUAAAUAUUAUAAGAGCGAUACAAGCACUCCAAGAAAUCCAGACGAGUUGGCAAUAGUUCUUGCGGGUGGCCAAACUAAUGGCAAUCAGGAAGAUGAUGGUCAUACCCGCACAGAAGGCAAUGUUGACGUCAACAUGGAUGAUAGCAAUGUGAGUGAUCAUGAGCCCAUAUUUAAUUCAUCUACGGCAGAAUCUACUAGUGUUGAUUAGUAACCGGUUACUGUGGAUAUUUAUGAUUCAAGCAAUUGGGGUAAUCUUGAUAACAAAGCGAGGGACAUAUUAGUGAAAAGGGGGCCUAAAAGGGAAGAAGAAAAUACUGAAUAUCCUUUGGAUGAAAAUUCAAGACAUUUUUUGUAUAGUUAUUACUCAACAAA